CUUGUGGGACCCUUCCAACCCAGAAUAUUUUAUGACUCUAUAUAAAGAUCAAGCACAGUGCUAUGUUACCUUACCAGAACCCAUGAAGCCUUUUGAUAAGACAGAGCAAAACAGAAGGAGAGACUUGGCACCUCUGCAUGAUGAAAUCCAUAUACUGGCUGUGGUUACAGGGCUGAGCAAAACACAGAGCAGAUGAAGAGAUACAGGCUCUGUGGGUGAUAGAUUCAUGACAUUUGAGAGUAUGGGGUUAUGCUGCCUGCUGAAGAGUUAAGUGAGUUCUGUUCUCCCCUUUUUCACUUUGCACCUUUUCACACUCAGAUACCUGCUACUGUUGAAAUGGGUAAAUUUCAAACUUGUAACAGAUAAAUUUGAGUGACAAUCUGGGAUGUUUUUCCCAGCA